UUGCGCAUAUAGCAGCGCAGUUAUGAUCUAAGUGGUAGUAUGGUCUCGCACCUUCAGAAAAUUGAGUUCUGUUUCGACAUAUACGAUAGCUCCAGAAAUGCGUUGCGGUACGUAAUUUUGUGCCUUGAGUUGUUAGGAUAUUUAUUCUGUUUUAGCUUUUGGUUCUAUGAAAAUUGAAAUAUAAGAUGAAAAUCUCACUGUUUCCAUUUCAGAAUCUGAAUUGCUCUUUUUUGUUGUGUGCCAUCACAGAAAAUUUUAUUCUGCUCUAAUAGAUUUGAUGGUAGAAUUAUUUCUGAUUUCAAAGAUGGCGAGUUUAAAAAACAGAAUCGAGGAGUGUGCAUGGAUAUUAGUUAGAAUGUUUUGAAGAAUCCGGAGCUUUAAUCACUGUCAUAGACAAUAAUAAUGUUUUAUACCGCUAUUAUUUCAGUGAGACAUAUAGAAAACUAAACCAAAUGAACCCUGGCAUUUCUUUCUAUAAAAGUAUGCUGGGUAUCAUGAUUUCAAAGGAUUUCCAUCACAAUUCAGAAGGAAACAACAUCAAGGAAAAGAUGGCCCUCGUGAUUGAUUCUUGGAAAGAAGGAAUCCAGCAGAACUCUUAAUGAUUCUUCUUGCAAAUAAUUGGUCGGCGUGAAGUUCAAAUUUCUUUGACUAUUGAUUGAACUUUCUUUUCAAUGAGUAUUUACAUAUAAAAAAAAUUGGAUGGUAAGCCGCUGUUAUCUGAGACCAAUUAAAUCUCUGCUAGUGUUUCCACCUGAAGCCAAUUCAUUUUUGAUCUUUAUUUCUAAUGUAACAAGAAUGUUGUCGUGCCUUGACAGAGAGCAUUUCAGGAUCGUAAAUGCGAGCUGUGGUUAAAUGGAGAAGACGGUAUUUCUGCAGGGGACACAGUUGGUAUCCAGAAGAACCAAUAUUUUGAAGGGAUGCAACAGCUUUCAUCGAUAGUUUGCUCAAUGGAAAUUACAUGUUCCAUCUCAAGAGAACACAUAUUGCUAACCCUUUAUGUGGCAAAAAAAUUCUGUGUGUUAUUGUCCACUGCUGGAAGAUUUGUAAAUUAUGUUGAUUCGAAGUGAAGUACCUUCCUGCCUUAUUCAAGAUAAGUUCUUCUGUAAGAAUACUAAAUGUACAAGAAAUGACAUUAAAGAAAAAUAUUUCUUUUGU